rnacentral:rRNA from 1 species
UACGAGAGCCUCAAGCGUUAUCCGGAAUUACUGGGCGUAAAGCGCGUGUAGGCGGCCCUGCAAGUCGGGUGUGAAAUCCCACGGCUCAACCGUGGAAGUGCACUCGAAACUGCAGGGCUAGAGUCCUGGAGAGGAAGGUGGAAUGCUUGGUGUAGAGGUGAAAUUCGUAGAUAUCAAGCGGAACACCGGUGGCGAAGGCGGCCUUCUGGACAGUGACUGACGCUGAGACGCGAAAGCGUGGGGAGCAAACAGG